GCUGAUGUAGUUUAAUUGGUUAAAACAUACCUCUCAUAAUGGUAAAUCAAAGGUUCGAAUCCUUUUUUCAGCU
rnacentral:tRNA from 1 species